rnacentral:tRNA from 1 species
AUUUGUAUAGUUUAAAGUAAAACACCUCAUUUUCAAUGAGAAAAUAAGAAUUAAAUUCUUUAUAAAUA